GCUAGGUUUACAGAUACUAAUGUGUUUGGUUUUCCACAUCUGCAGCGGACUUGAAGGUGACACAGAGAAGCUUUAACUUUGGGAAGAAGCAAGGGCUCCCAUUUUACUUUGUGUCAGCGGCCGACGGAACAAAUGUAGUUAAGAGAGAUGAUCAAGAGAGCCGUGGACUACAAACAAAACCCCAGCGACUUCAUGGAUGAAGUAAUGCAAGAAUUAGAGAACUUUGACCUGGAGAAGAAAGAAGAUAAUUCAGACGCAGAUGAGGACGGAUUGAAAGUAGAGAGUCCAAAGUUGGAUUGAAAGUUUUCUACAGAGCAUCCAUCCCUCAUGUCCUGCUUCUCUGUGAAAGACAACAUCAACAGACACACUUAUCCUUAUAUAAUUUUGGUUGUCUGCCUUUUAAAUGAUCAGAUUGUAUCUCUACUACUGGACGGCAGACAGUCAGGAUUUAAAUGACUGCCCUCCAUCUGUCCAGCAAUACCAGCAGGGUAAUAAGCCUGAUGGAAUAAUUAGGAUUUGUGUUGUUUACCACAUUUAUUUAGCUGCUGUUUUAGCAUCGUUAUUCAUAGCCUGAACAUCUACUAUUAUAAUAGUAGAAAAUUAAUGUUUAAGUGUGGAAGAAAAAAAAACGACUUUGUGUCAUGUAAUAACAAUGUGAAGUGAUGAACUAAGUCACACAGAGCAGAGAGAACGUGUGAUUAUAAACUUCAUUUGCUGCUGUCCUCGAUGUUUGUGUGUAGUGUUGUGUGCAGUGCCAGUGGGAGGCUGCAUCUGUCGGCUGCUUUGGUUGCAUUAAUUUCAUGAUGUAAAUUCUGUUUUUUAGCACCCUAUAAAUGAAAACUUAAUGUACCAUGGAACCAAACUGUUAUCAUGUCUCUUUUCUACUUGCUGUGAACCAGCAGUAGAGCACCAAGAAGUCAACGGAAC
ensembl:lncRNA